GUCUAAAUUUUAUUAUCUCCAGGUCACAAUGCUGAUCACAAAUGUACACUCUUUAAAACAGUAACAAAAACAACACACGUGGAGAAAUCUUUGCAACUAAGUACAGUGGACCAAGAGAGACAACUGUCACAGUGUCUUCGGGUCUGGGGUCUGGGCAGCUGCCUACAGGUUUGCACACGUCUUCAGGUUUAAGGCAAAGGGAAGCUGACGAAAGGCACAAGCACCAGCUAUCCCAGAGAAGCCUUCCUGCUUUCCUCCUCGGGGUCACAGCCCAACUCCUCUCUCUCUCUACCCACACCGUGACUCAGAGUGGUCAGGCCAGCUGCCGAGGGAACGAGUGAGAACAGAGGCAUCCUGCCACCUUCUCCCUCGAGUUCUGAGGAAGGACAGGGACAGGGGUCAGGCUUCCCCUGGCAGACAUGCGCACUGCAGUGACAAACUCUACAGAGGCAGCAGGGGAGUGGUCCGGGGCCGUAACAGGGAGCACAGUGGGGAGCCCUGCUCACAGGAUGACUGGCUUCCUCAGGCUGGAAGCCCAGGUGCGGUGCCUUCUGUUUGCAAGAACAGGAGAUUCAGGGAAAGGAGAGAAACCGAAACACUUGUAGCAGGAACAGUGCAGAGAGGGACUGCCCCGUGAGACAGAGUGCUUGCCAGCAGCACCUGCUGCUAGAGAUCCACUGAGCCAAGGCGACAGCGACAGGGAGGGGUGUGGCCAGAGGGCGAGAGAAGCAGGCCCCUAACUCCACUUAACGCAGAAACUGCGUUCCAAGCAUGUGCUGCUCACAGUGGCUUUGCCCUUGGCAGAGAACUGAAGCCACCAGAGCAGGGCACUGAUGACUCACCCACUUUGCGCCCUUCUCCGAGUGGACACUGUGGACAGCUGUCCUCCCUUGGGUAGGGGGUUAAGAGAAUUCAAGUAGAGAGAGUGACGGGGCUACCCUCCUUGCACCGGGAGGAUACACUUAGCUGGCUGCGAUGCAGGGAGAGGCAACGGCACCCAAGGGGCAGCAAGCCAGAAAAAGGACUCGGUUCAUUGAGAGAGACUAAGAAUAUUAAUUUAAGAACAGCAAGCCAGGUUUUUAAAAAAGGAACAUUUUAGAAAACAAAACAACCACAGGAAAGGACAUCCCCAGGAGCCAAAGACCCUUGAAUGUCCAGGGAGAGGGUGAAGCCUGGCAAGCCUGGGCUCCUGGCGGACGCGCGGACACUCAGCAGCUCAGGCCACGCUGCGCUGCGCUCCCCUCUGCGCAGAGCUGGCCCAGAGGAAGGGCCCACCGCCUGAUUCCAGGGCCUCCCGGAGCAAUGGCCCAUUGGAUCUCUCUUCUCUCCUGAGAUCACACCUCUGUGAAAGUUUGAGAAGGGCAGAACCAGCCAAGUGUUAGUAGUGGACCUCAGGCCCUCAGGAUAGCUACAAACUGGCUUGUUCACUAUUUGUCUCAGUGCUGAGAAUGAAGCCCAAGGCCUCAUGUGAGCUAAGCACAGGCUCUGCCA
ensembl:lncRNA